rnacentral:misc_RNA from 1 species
GUAGGUGAACCUGCGGAAGGAUCAUUACCAAAUCCAAAACUUUAUCAACACCAAACAAGUGAACUGAGAAUGGUUUCGUUCCCCUCUGCAUGUGCAUACAAUGUGUUUCCACAUUCGUGCGUGUGCGAAGGGGGAUGUUUUUUUUUUCAACCCCUUUUCAACCUCUUACAAUCUUUUAUGCUGAAAGCAAAAAAAACGAAACAUGAGACAACUUUUAACGGUGGAUCUCUUGGCUCGU